AGUCUCCAAGAUGGGCGUGGUGUGGGCGUGGUGUGUGGGCGUGGUGUGGGCGGAGCAUGUAGGUCUGCUGCUCCUCCGGUCUACAGCCCCAGCAUAUAUAUAUAUGCUGCCUGACACGAACUACAGCACUCACAUAGAAACCUUCCCAACAGGAUGAUGUACGCAAUCCUGCUGAUGUUGGCGGUGGCCGCCACUGCCGUGCCCCAGUACCCACCCAAGCCUCCUCCCUACGGUGCUCCCACAUGUAACCCCGUCACCGUCACCCAGACCUCUACACAGUACCAAGAAGUCACGGUGACCAGCACCACCCCCGUCCACACCACCACUACUCUCUACCAACAUGAAACUGUUACAAGUUAUGUAACUCAAACCCAGACCACACUCCUUCACUAACACUGAGACCAAAUACAAGACCGAGACCACGACGGUAGUCGUCCCCACUACCAUCACGACCAUCCAGACGACAACCUUGACCACCUACACGACUCAGACAACAACGGUUUACGUUACCCAGACCGCAACUUCGGUCCAGACCCAGUAUGAGACCGUCUGCCCGAUGACUUCAUAUGGUGGCUAGGCCAGUAUAUGGAGCCAUAUAAUUUUUGUGUGAGCUUCUUACUCACACUUCUAUGAAGACAAGACAUACAUUGCUUUU